CCUACGGGCGGCAGCAGUGAGGAAUAUUGGUCAAUGGGCGCGAGACUGAACCAACCAAGUAGCGUGAAGGAUGACUGUACAACGGGUUGUAAACUUCUUUUAUAAGGGAAUAAAGUGAGGCACGUGUGCCUUUUUGUAUGUACUUUAUGAAUAAGGAUCGGCUAACUCCGUGCCAGCAGCCGCGGUAAUACGGAGGAUCCGAGCGUUAUCCGGAUUUAUUGGGUUUAAAGGGAGCGUAGAUGGGUUGUUAAGUCAGUUGUGAAAGUUUGCGGCUCAACCGUAAAAUUGCAAUUGAUACUGGCAGUCUUGAGUACAGGUGAGGUAUGCGGAAUGCGUGGUGUAGCGGUGAAAUGCUUAGAUAUCACGCAGAACUCCGAUUGCGAAGGCAGCUUACUAACCCGCCACUGACAUUGAUGCUCGAAAGUGUGGGUAUCAAACAGGAUUAGAUACCCUUGUAGUC
rnacentral:rRNA from 1 species